CCUACGGGGGGCAGCAGUAAGGAAUAUUGGACAAUGGACGCAAGUCUGAUCCAGCCAUGCCGCGUGAAGGAAGAAGGCGCUCAGCGUUGUAAACUUCUUUUGGACGGGGACAAACCGCUUCAUUUAUGGGGCGCUGAGGGUACCGUCAGAAUAAGCACCGGCUAACUCCGUGCCAGCAGCCGCGGUAAUACGGAGGGUGCAAGCGUUAUCCGGAAUCACUGGGUUUAAAGGGUGCGUAGGCGGCCCGAUAAGUCAGUCGUGAAAUCGCUGGGCUUAACCCAUGCAAUUGCGAUUGAUACUGUUGGACUUGAAUGAGGUUGAGGUAGGCGGAAUGUGGCAUGUAGCGGUGAAAUGCAUAGAUAUGCCAUAGAACACCGAUUGCGAAGGCAGCUUGCUGGGCCUUCAUUGACGCUGAGGCACGAAAGCGUGGGGAGCAAACAGGAUUAGAUACCCCUGUAGUC
rnacentral:rRNA from 1 species